rnacentral:rRNA from 1 species
AUUGAACGCUGGCGGCAGGCCUAACACAUGCAAGUCGAGCGGAUGAGAGAAGCUUGCUUCUCGAUUCAGCGGCGGACGGGUGAGUAAUGCCUAGGAAUCUGCCUGGUAGUGGGGGACAACGUUUCGAAAGGAACGCUAAUACCGCAUACGUCCUACGGGAGAAAGCAGGGGACCUUCGGGCCUUGCGCUAUCAGAUGAGCCUAGGUCGGAUUAGCUAGUUGGUGAGGUAAUGGCUCACCAAGGCGACGAUCCGUAACUGGUCUGAGAGGAUGAUCAGUCACACUGGAACUGAGACACGGUCCAGACUCCUACGGGAGGCAGCAGUGGGGAAUAUUGGACAAUGGGCGAAUGCCUGAUCCAGCCAUGCCGCGUGUGUGAAGAAGGUCUUCGGAUUGUAAAGCACUUUAAGUUGGGAGGAAGGGUUGUAGAUUAAUACUCUGCAAUUUUGACGUUACCGACAGAAUAAGCACCGGCUAACUCUGUGCCAGCAGCCGCCGUAACAC